AUUCUCGUUUAAUAACAACACGCAUGCAGUUGGGAGAAUUGAAAAGAUAAGAGUUAACACAGAAGCAGCAGGAAUGUGAGUGGGGAGAGCGAGUUCAAACGCUGCGUGACUUGCAAAUUGCGGGCGUGUUAUUUAAUAACUGGAAAGUCUGUCAGUGUUUUUUAUUUAUUUUUUUAACAUGUUGCGGAGGAUUUCAGCAAGGGAAUGGUAAUCUGUAACGACAAACGGGAAUCGUCAGUCAAGUGUGAUCAAGAGUCAUGCACUGAUCAAGGGGCAAUGAUCACAAACCACAGCUGGAAAGCAAAAAAGAGCAACCGGCAGUCAAGACCUCACCACUGCAGCAGACAGCAAAACAGAAUUGAAGGCGGAAGUUGAGUGUUCGGGUUUCCAGUCUAGAAGAAGCCCACUGCCUAAUAUCUAAACCGAUUCUUUCAUUGUAAAACAAACAAAUAAUAAUAAUAACAAUAAACAUACCGAGGGCAGUGGAAAACAAACGCAGUUGCAAAUUGCUUGGAUGGGAGAAAUCGAAUUCGUUUGUUGGAAGCUUGUCUGACACAGACUUUCACGGUUGUCUCUUUCGUAUCGAAUCAUCGGAUUUGCUUUAUUUCUUCUAUCGUAUCGCACGGGUUUUAUCUGAGACGCUUCUUUCUCGACUACAGACUGUGAACAGACUGGCCUGUGUAUUCGAUCUGCUUCCUACAACAAGUACUCCAAUCUCCUUAAUUCUACCACAGGUCUAAGACUAAGAGUAUUGCUCCGGUGUGUUUAUAAUUCGAAUUUACAGUUUAAUGACAAUUAAAUUACACACAGAGGGAAAACCAAGAACCGACGUAUAUCAGUGAACCUUAUGUUAUAUCCGUACACAUCUUUAUUUUGAUUGUGUUUUCGGCGUCUCUGAUUAAUACGCGUGGAAAUCAACUCUGCAUAAAACGUUGCAAACAUCGAAUUGUACAUGUUGGCUUAGUUUACGUCUUUGAAAGAUUCUUGAUAAGGAGGGUCGAAUAAGCCAAGGAAGCCCGUUUAAUUUACGCGGGUUGUGAAUUUUAUUACAUUAUUUUAAUUGAUUAUUUUGGCGAUAUCUUUACAGACCAGAGUUGUUCUUUUUUUUAACAGUUUAAGAAGCUAUUUUAAUUUUAAAAUUUAACAACGUUUAAACAAAAAGGUGGAGUUGGGUGUAUUGUAUGCUUUGUGACAAAUAACAAUUACCGGGCGAUAGUCUUAAGUAUUUGUAAUGUGUUUUUUUCCCCACUGACAGCUGUAAAAGGCCGUUGUUUUCUUGCAUUACGUUGACAUGAUUUUGGUUUCUUUGCCUAUUUAAUAGUCCUUGUGCUUUCACUGUAUUUUACACUAGUACCUUCUUGUCGCCAUGUCUUGAAGAGAAUAGGCUUUUAACAUUGCUACGUGGUAGUGUAAACAAUCCCCAGCAUUUUACAAUCAAAGGAAAUAAGCUUAUCGGAUCAGAAAUAAUUAAUAAUUAUGGCAGAUCGCGGUCGCAUACGAUAUGGCAACAACGAAAGUCCAACUGCUAGCCCUGGGACUGGACGGAAGAAAGUGCAUCAGUCGCCGAGUUCCAGAACCAAGCAUCAUAUCAGCGCCCCAGGACACAAUUUUAGGAAAGUGACUUUAACCAAACCAACGUACUGUCACCACUGCACCGAUUUCAUCUGGGGACUGGCUGGGUUUCUGUGUGAAGUGUGUAACUUCAUGUCCCAUGAGAAGUGCCUGAAGCAUGUGAAGACUGUCUGCUCUUGGAUGGCUUCGUCUUUAGUGCGGAUAUCCUUAAGCCUGGUGUUGAUGACUGAAGUAUAAUGCUGGCUCCAGGGAUCAGCCUAUUUUGCCUUUCUGGUGCAUCAGCACACAACGGCUGCAAUGCUGGCUCCAGGGGUCAACCACAGUGCGGCCUCCCUAGCACAUCGGCAUGACAACCGUCUGGACUGAGCUGAGUAGAGUACUUCUCUGGGGUCUUCAAGUGGGCACAAGAAUGUAAUUCAGCUCCAAUCAGAGCUAGGCAGCCUCGGGGGAGCACAAAGUUGACAUGUUGCUGGAUCCCUGGGAAGGAGUGACUCAAGCUGCUGGUUCACGCGGGGCAAAAGGCCACUGCAGGAUGUAACAGUUAAUUAAACUUUUUUUUAACAAUUAAUUUAAAAAAAACAAAAAACUAACUAUUACAGCGUAAAUGUGAUAUUGCAUAAAUUGUAUAAAACACACUAAUUAGCGAAAAUUAUAUAGUCAUAAGCAGCAAGUACUUAUCUGAUACCCGGCUCCCCGGUCAGUCUUGAAAGAAAAAACAGGUCGCUGAGAUCUGUGCGCUCAGUUUGAGUUUGAAAUCCCAGUUACACAGACAAAAUUAUCUGUUGUAAGUGAAGACAGUAAUGAGGGUUAUGUUUUAGAUGUAGAACGUUAAAGUGGAAUUGUAACGGGGUAUAUGUGUGUGGGUCAUCACUGAAUAAUAAUGAGGUAGACGCAGAGCAUUGGGUGUUGACACGGCACACAGCUUUUAUUUAACACAAAGGCUGUCACUAGGGUACCAGAAAUGGUAGCCCUAGUGUCAGAUUUAAUAAAGAAAACAAAAUAAAGCUAAAAAUAAAGGUUUGCCACACAAAGCGAGUGCUAGUCUCACUAAAAGAGACGUCCCGCUCCCGGAACCACCUACGCUAUGUAAACCCUCUAUCUCCAUACUGUUUGGGAUUAACAUCCUCUACAUUAACCUACUACUGUUGCUUCCAAGUCCCGGCCUCCCAGCGACUUCGGGUCGUUGCGAUGGUCCUGGCUCAGCAGAGCCUUCACAGGCAACGUCUUGCAGUUGAAGGUUUCUGUAGUAGUUAUCCUGAAUGUGAACAAAGCUCCUCUCUGUGUAGCAUGGUGGUGCAGUCGCCUCGAGCUGUGGCACAGAUGCCUUUUGAGCUGCGCGCACCCUCCCCGUGCAUGGUCCCCCAGCUAAUCUGGACCUCCCGAUCAGCUCAGGGCCGGGCGAGCCUAACUGCGCAAUUAGUUGCCUAGCAACACGUCUCCUGUUCCGUAUCCCAGCUGCACUCAUUUGCGCAAGAACCAGCGACAUGUCACAUACCCUCCCCCUCAGAAUGGCACCACCGGUACAUUCAACUUUCUUCAGCUGGUUCCUCUUCAGUUUGGGUGGUCAACGGGUGAUGGAAGGUCCAGACACGACGGUGGGUUGUCUGGAAGCACAGGCCGAGGGAGCUGACCCAUGGGUGCAGGACUGGGAAUGCAGGCUUCUCCCCUUCCUCGCUCUCGGGGACGGCAGCUCCUCCUCAGGUUGUCGGGACAGUAGCCCCUCCUUCUUUGGCCCUUGGGACAGCCGCUACUCCUUCUUGGACCAUAAGUCCUCCUCUGGCUCUUGACAGGGAGACAGCCACUCUGGCCUUUGAGCACAGUAACUCCUCCCCCUCCAGCGUUCGGGACUCCAGCUCCUCCCCCUCUGGCUUUUUACCCGGAGUUUAAGAAGUACUCAGGCAAAAUGUCAAUGAGUUGUAAGCUUGUUUGAAUAAUGGUUAAAUUAAUGAAAUGCAAAAGCUAAGAUGUACUAAGUGAUGAUGAAAUUGCUGCUGUUCCUGAACCUGUCCAGAAGAAAUGUGAAAUAAAAAUUAGAAGAGGGUAUGUUCAUGAGGAAGUGAAUUUGUAAUUCUAAAAGCUUUCUUUUUUUUUACAUUAUGUUAAUGUAUAAUUGUAUUACUUUUCUUUAACAAUAUGAAAUUCUACGCUGAAAUCGUAAGCCCUUUUCUAAACACUUGCUUGGAGCAGGUUUGGAUAACCCUUUUUGUAUACAGUAAGGCUGCAACAUCUAGAGGAAAAGGAAGUGGACGAUGACAACAGUGAAUACGUCACUGAUUUCAUUUUUCCGUUA